rnacentral:rRNA from 1 species
CCCUUAGAUGUUCUGGGCUGCACGCGCGCUACACUGAUGCGCUCAACGAGUUUUAACCUUGCCUGGAAAGGUUGGGUAAUCUUUUUAAAACGCAUCGUGAUGGGGAUAGAUUAUUGCAAUUAUUAAUCUUGAACGAGGAAUUCCUAGUAAACGCGAGUCAUCAGCUCGCAUUGAUUACGUCCCUGCCCUUUGUACACACCGCCCGUCGCACCUACCGAUUGAAUGGUUCGGUGAAGAUCUCGGACUUCGAUAUUUGUUCUUCAUUGAACUUAUAUAGUGGGAAGUUAUCUGAACCUCAUCAUUUAGAGGAAGGUGAAGUCGUAACA